ACGAACAAUAAUUAUACACGAAAAGUGAUUCAUGAACCAAAUAUUAUUACAAGUCAAGGUGCCAACUUCACUAAAGUAGUUAAAUGUUGUUGGUUAAUAGUUAUUUAAAUGUUUUUUCAGUCAAUAAAUUUAUCAAAGUACUUAUCAAAUUUUAAAUCACAAGAAUAUUAUUAUUUUAGAAAAUGUUGAAUUGCCGGCUCUAAAUUUGAUAUUGAAAUCUGUUAAAAAAUUCAAAACCACUGAAACAAAAUUAUUUAAUUGGAAAAAUUUAAUCAGGAAAAAGAUAUUGGCAAGGAAUAACCACGGUAAAACGAGCAAGUUAUAUCACCCGAAAUAUAUAUAGUAUAUAAUUUAGGUUUUAAGGCAAUUCUAAAAACGUAUAAUACAUAAAUCCUACCGGAGAGUUUAAAUUCUGUGGUUCGACGUUUUUGUUGUCACCGGCUAUGAACUCGUGACCUUCGGGUUUCUGGGUAAGUUCCUGAUCGCCGACAUCGUCAUCUUCUUCAACCACAGUCUCCAACACAGCUACUGCGGUCGUAUCAGUUGCAACUUCCGUUGGUUCUACCGUGAUCACAGCUUCAAUGUCAUCGUUGUCGUCGUUUUCGUCCUCCUCCUCUUCUUCGUAUUCCUGUAACUUCCAUCCAUGCACACCAUUAUUACUCUAUCAUGUUUUCGUUGAAGCGUUGGAAAAUUGCUUUUUCCACCCACUACAACGAAUAGUUGGCGGUUGGAAGUGUAUACUGUCCUAAUCAGAUAAAUGUAUAUGAAAGUAUCGAUAUGUUUUGUCUAACAUAACAAACUGAUUUUUCUGUUACACCAAAAGAUGAAUUAUCGUAUCGAUGAGGCGCUAAUCUGGGGUAUUUGAGAGGAGUAACAAAAAUUAUUAUUCAUGGCUCAUUUGUAAAAGCAAUAUCAAUCUGGGGAGAGAUGUUCAGUAGCCUAAGUUAUUGACACCAUGUGCAAACUAUUGACGAUUGGAUGACUGGCGUCUAUAACAAAUUUUACGAAAAAUACGGCGUUCAUUUCCAUAUUGAAAUAUCUACAAGUGUUGCUGUUCAUCCCAUCGUCCCGAGAGUACGAGACCUGCUGCAGUGUUGUAGACCAUCAGGAUUACGUAAUAUUUCAAUAUUCAAUGAAAUCGAUUAAUUAGUUCAAGAGAAGAUAACUUUAAUAACUUGAAGUUCAAAUGGAGGAUAGAAGUGAACCACUACUACUCCCGUUCAAUUAUUAUAAUACCGUAUGUAGGACGUAGGUAUAUAAUUAUUGUUAAAUAUACCUAUAGGCUAUAACAAUACAAACUUCGCGCGUCGCGUGCAGAGUUAUUUCAAUACAGAUGCAGCUAAUAUUUUUAUAAGCCCAUUAUAAUAUAUUAUAUA